rnacentral:rRNA from 1 species
AGUGAACGCUGGCGGUAGGCCUAACACAUGCAAGUCGAACGGCAGCACAGUAAGAGCUUGCUCUUACGGGUGGCGAGUGGCGGACGGGUGAGGAAUACAUCGGAAUCUACUUUUUCGUGGGGGAUAACGUAGGGAAACUUACGCUAAUACCGCAUACGACCUACGGGUGAAAGUAGGGGAUCUUCGGACCUUGCGCGAUUGAAUGAGCCGAUGUCGGAUUAGCUAGUUGGCGGGGUAAAGGCCCACCAAGGCGACGAUCCGUAGCUGGUCUGAGAGGAUGAUCAGCCACACUGGAACUGAGACACGGUCCAGACUCCUACGGGAGGCAGCAGUGGGGAAUAUUGGAAAAUGGGCGCAAGCCUGAUCCAGCCAUACCGCGUGGGUGAAGAAGGCCUUCGGGUUGUAAAGCCUUUUUGUUGGGAAAGAAAAGCAGCAGGUUAAUACCCCGCUGUUCUGACGGUACCCAAAGAAUAAGCACCGGCUAACUUCGUG